ensembl:lncRNA
GAUUCCUGUCUGGUCGCGCCCUGGGCACCAGGAUUUAGCUGGUUUUAACUCUCCAUCACCGGGAGAAGUGUCAGCGCGACAGUGAUGACAGGAAGAAGAAAUGGGGAUGAAUAACCAUGAAGUGAGGAUGAAGCCGAGUGGAGGUCCAAUGAAGACAUGAGCACAUAUCGAUGGAGUCCUCUUUCAACACCGUAGAGCUCCGGGAGCUGCGAGGGAGUGGAGCCCGGCAAGGCCCAUCUCCGACACCGACUUCAGCACCCUGGACAGCAGCAACGCUGGGCUGCUCCGCCCGGGGCUUUGAGAACGCCUCCUACGAGCAGGAUGAGGAUCAGGACCUCCGUCAGCAGGAGCAACAGCCAACCACAAGUUAUCCGCCUUCCACAUCAGGAAAC